UUUCACGCCGUCCAACCCCAGCACUCCGCUCUCGCAGUCGCGUUCGUGAGACUAACCGUUCCUCCAGCGAGCUAAUGGGGCGAUAGGCUCUCGGAAACAAGAGAUAGUAAAGAGGGUGGUGGAAACAUCCGGCUUUGCCUCAUUUUAUAGAUGUGACAUUGUGGUCUUCCUUUUGUUGGGCAGACGGGACAAUGGAAGAGGACGGUAGUAUCCAAUACCGAUGCAUGGAAAUUUCCUGAAUACAAGUCAGUAAAUGGCUAACUUUACAUAUUAUAUGAGAAUAUUUCAACGAGAUUUUAUUGUUUUUUUGUUUGAGGCAACGGUACGACCACAUAUACUUCUAAGGUGACUUUACGUCCUGCUCCCGCAAGGAUUUCUCCCGAUUUCGGCGUUUUACAUCCUUUUGAAUGUCCUAGGAAUGUCGUUUCUUGUAAAGAUGAAGUUGGCCACUUUAAUCUUUGUUCUCCAAGCUUUGUAUGUAACAAGUCACCUCUGUUUGUCUCUUUGCUUUGCCAGUCGGAAUGAUAAUACAUGCCCAGCAAACGUCAACAUCGUGAGCCCUAUUACACUUAAACCGUGCUUUACCAUGGAAGGAAAGAUAAGGCGAU
rnacentral:sRNA from 2 species